rnacentral:rRNA from 1 species
UACGUAGGUGGCAAGCGUUGUCCGGAUUUACUGGGCGUAAAGGGCGCGCAGGCGGUCGGAUCAGUCGGAUGUGAAAGCCCCCGGCUCAACUGGGGAGGGGCAUUCGAUACUGUCCGACUCGAAGGCAGGAGAGGGAAGCGGAAUUCCCGGUGUAGUGGUGAAAUGCGUAGAUAUCGGGAGGAACACCAGUGGCGAAGGCGGCUUUCUGGCCUGUUCUUGACGCUGAGGCGCGAAAGCUAGGGGAGCAAACGGG